rnacentral:rRNA from 1 species
GACGAACGCUGGCGGCGUGCCUAAUACAUGCAAGUUGAGCGCUGAAGGUUGGUACUUGUACCAACUGGAUGAGCAGCGAACGGGUGAGUAACGCGUGGGGAAUCUGCCUUUGAGCGGGGGACAACAUUUGGAAACGAAUGCUAAUACCGCAUAAAAACUUUAAACACAAGUUUUAAGUUUGAAAGAUGCAAUUGCAUCACUCAAAGAUGAUCCCGCGUUGUAUUAGCUAGUUGGUGAGGUAAAGGCUCACCAAGGCGAUGAUACAUAGCCGACCUGAGAGGGUGAUCGGCCACAUUGGGACUGAGACACGGCCCAAACUCCUACGGGAGGCAGCAGUAGGGAAUCUUCGGCAAUGGACGAAAGUCUGACCGAGCAACGCCGCGUGAGUGAAGAAGGUUUUCGGAUCGUAAAACUCUGUUGAUAGAGAAGAACGUUGGUGAGAGUGGAAAGCUCAUCAAGUGACGGUAACUACCCAGAAAGGGACGGCUAACUACGUG